rnacentral:lncRNA from 1 species
GUUCUCCUUUUCUGGGGUCAUUAAAUUGACUCCUAGCCGUCUCAAUGUUGAUUUUAAUUAAAGAUAAUUAUACUGCCUCACUCAACCUGCCAGAGAUAAAAUGAGGUAUUUUAUAAAUGCUUUGAAAAGUUGAAAACUUUCACCAUUUCCCUUCUCCCCUGCUAAUGAGAGAUGGGGCUGGGAUGACUCCCUGGUCACCCACGCUGAGACAGGUGAGAUUCUCCUCUGCUAAGGAUAACAGUCUUACUCCUCAAUGAACUAUAACAACCGCUCUAAAUGCAUCUCCUGUAACAUACCUCUGUGAUUUGCAAAAGUGGGAAUAAAUCAAAGCCGGGAAGAGAUGCCACGUUAAGCCAGAAGCUAAAUGUUACAUCAUGUCGCGCGAGGCCAGGGGAAGAGAGAGGCUGCUUUUCCCUGGCAGCACAAUCUGUUUAUGCUCCUUACCUCCGCCACAGCCCCAUUAAAACAAUCAUUCUGAAUCUGCGGGAAAUUGUCACCUCUUUCUUUUCUGCCAUGGCAGCUGGUAUUGGAGGCUGCAGACAUUGCUCAUUCCCUUCAAGGUUCUUAACACACACGCAAAAAAAGAAAAUGAAGCUUAAUUUGUU